ACAUCCGGCUUUUGCAGAUGGAGCAUGAGUUUUUAACCGUGACUGGAAAAUUCCGAGUUGAAUAUCCUGGUGUUCAAAGUCAACUGCGGCGCAAUAUCUCCCAAGUUUUGAACAAAUUCCAGGCAUUGCUCAACAUGAAUUUGCUUGAUGAAAGUUCAAGUACUGGUAAUGGAACAGAGGAUAGAACAGCAGAAACAAACUUUUGAGUGAAAAUCGAAAAAGAGCCUCCAAGAAUUGUCUUUGAUGAUAUUUUAUGCUAUAAAACGAUAUUUUCUGCAUAUAUAAUACAAAAUAAAAUUUUCCCCAUAUAUAAUAUAAAAUAAUAUUUUCCCCAUAUAUAAUAUGAAAUAAUAUUUUCUUAAUAUAUAAUAUAA